CAUCAAUCCAUAUGGUCGUCUCCCAUCAGCUAUGCCUUAUGGGUGUCGAUAUAUUGCUCCAUAUGCGGUACCUGGGGUAUGUGGCUCCACAGGCGCCGACACAGCCUGUCGACUACAGUAGGAUGUUUAACCCCCACAUCUCCUAUGCGACCUAUGACGUCCAGUUCUGUCACCACUUCCAGCAGCAGGCCUGUGUUGGAAUGCACUAGAAUGACUGAAAUGACUGAAUCAGCGUGGAAGUAAAACUGUAGUUUCCCGAGACAUCCCAGGAACUGUUUUUCAAACUGAAACCACACCUUUGUUUAGGUAUGGCAGCUUCACAAUUUGAAAAUGGACCACAUGUGGCAGCGGGGCACAUUGGGCCACACCAGCCAGUUCCUCAGCCCAACCCUGGCACAUGGCACCCAGUGCAUGGACCCGAAGGAUCAGGGCCCCAUCUAACCGAUCAUCAGCCCCAUCCUCAUGUGCACCAGUCUCGACCCUACUUCUAUGUGCAGCCCCCUCCUCCUCUCCCCCUCUACCACUACCAGUGGCCCAUGCCCUACAACCCCUGCUCUGGAAUUCCAGGAAUGGCUAAGUUUAAAUAUGUUUUUCUUACCCAGUAGUAUAAAUGCUGUAUUAUGUCCAGUCUGGAGGUAUAAAGUAAUAUUCAUGAUCAGUAAACCACAUUUUUGUUCUGAUCUACUACAUGUAUUGUACAGCUCAAAAUGUA
ensembl:lncRNA